CCAGACUCCUACGGGAGGCAGCAGUGGGGAAUAUUGCACAAUGGGGGAAACCCUGAUGCAGCGACGCCGCGUGAGUGAAGAAGUAUUUCGGUAUGUAAAGCUCUAUCAGCAGGGAAGAAAUAGCGACCUUUGGGUCGCCAGACGGUACCUGAUUAAGAAGCCCCGGCUAACUACGUGCCAGCAGCCGCGGUAAUACGUAGGGGGCAAGCGUUAUCCGGAUUCACUGGGCGUAAAGGGAGCGCAGGCGGCAUGGCAAGUCUGAUGUGAAAACCCGGGGCCCAACCCCGGGAGUGCAUUGGAAACUGCCAGGCUGGAGUGUCGGAGGGGUAAGCGGAAUUCCUAGUGCAGCGGUGAAAUGCGUAGAUAUUAGGAGGAACACCGGUGGCGAAGGCGGCCUGCUGGACGAUGACUGACGCUGAGGCUCGAAAGCGUGGGGAGCAAACAGGAUUAGAUACCCUAGUAA
rnacentral:rRNA from 1 species